rnacentral:rRNA from 1 species
AUGGCGACCGGCGCACGGGUGAGUAACACGUAUCCAACCUGCCGAUAACUCGGGGAUAGCCUUUCGAAAGAAAGAUUAAUACCCGAUGGUAUAAUCAGACCGCAUGGUCUUGUUAUUAAAGAAUUUCGGUUAUCGAUGGGGAUGCGUUCCAUUAGGCAGUUGGUGAGGUAACGGCUCACCAAACCUUCGAUGGAUAGGGGUUCUGAGAGGAAGAUCCCCCACAUUGGAACUGAGACACGGUCCAA